rnacentral:rRNA from 1 species
CGGACGGGUGAGUAACGCGUGAGAAUCUGCCUUCAGGACGGAGACAACAGUUGGAAACGACUGCUAAGCCCCGAUGUACCGAAAGGGAAAAUAUUUAUAGCCUGAAGAUGAGCUCGCGUCCGAUUAGCUAGUUGGCGGAGUAAAAGCCCACCAAGGCGACGAUCGGUAGCUGGUCUGAGAGGACGAUCAGCCACACUGGGACUGGGACACGGCCCAGACUCCUACGGGAGGCAGCAGUGGGGAAUUUUCCGCAAUGGGCGAAAGCCUGACGGAGCAAGACCGCGUGAGGGAAGAAGGCUCUUGGGUCGUAAACCUCUUUUAUCAGGGAAGAAAAAAAUGACGGUACCUGAAGAAUCAGCCUCGGCUAACUCCGUGCCAGCAGCCGCGGUAAUACGGAGGAGGCAAGCGUUAUCCGGAAUUAUUGGGCGUAAAGCGUCCGCAGGUGGCUUAUCAAGUCUGCUGUCAAAGAGUGGGGCUUAACCCCAUAAAGGCAGUGGAAACUGGGAAGCUAGAGUGCCGUAGGGGUAGAGGGAAUUCCCGGUGUAGCGGUGAAAUGCGUAGAGAUCGGGAAGAACAUCGGUGGCGAAAGCGCUCUACUGGACGGCAACUGACACUCAGGGACGAAAGCUAGGGGAGCGAAUGGGAUUAGAUACCCCAGUAGUC